CGCGGGUUGUCAGCUGAUUGUUCUAAAAAGAUGAAAUCGGCGCGGACUUGCUGAGCGCUUCGACGACUUUGGCAACUUUUCUCUCGGCCCCCCCGUCUCUCUCUCUCGAGCUGAACUGAAGCAGGCGCGGGGGCCACCACCCACCACCACCACCAACCCCCCCCACCACCACCAACCCACCACCAUGUCAGGAACGUCGGCCAUGAUGCAGCAGUUCAUGCAGGGCCUGCGUAGUCGCAGCGAGGACUCGAGGGCACGGGCAGCCAAGGACCUGCAGCACUACGUGGCUACGGAGCUACGAGAGCUCAGCGUGGAGGAGAGUGAGUGAGUGGGUGAG